rnacentral:rRNA from 1 species
AUUGAACGCUGGCGGCAGGCCUAACACAUGCAAGUCGAGCGGAUGAAGGGAGCUUGCUCCUGGAUUCAGCGGCGGACGGGUGAGUAAUGCCUAGGAAUCUGCCUGGUAGGGGGGGAUAACGUCCGGAAACGGGCGCUAAUACUGCAUACGUCCUGAUGGAGAAAGUGGGUGAUCUUCGGACCGCACGCUAUCAGAUGAGCCUAGGUCGGAUUAGCUAGUUGGUGGGGUAAAGGCCUACCAAGGCGACGAUCCGUAACUGGUCUGAGAGGAUGAUCAGUCACACUGGAACUGAGACACGGUCAAGACUCCUACGGGAGGCAGCAGUGGGGAAUAUUGGACAAUGGGCGAAAGCCUGAUCCAGCCAUGCCGCGUGUGUGAAGAAGGUCUUCGGAUUGUAAAGCACUUUAAGUUGGGAGGAAGGGCAGUAAGUUAAUACCUUGCUGGUUUGACGUUACCAACAGAAUAAGCACCGGCUAACUACGUG